rnacentral:rRNA from 1 species
GAUAUCAGGAGGAAUACCAGUGGCGAAGGCGGCUUUCUGGUUCGGAAUCGACGCUGAUGUACUAAAGCGUGGGUAGCAAACAGGAUUAGAUACCCUGGUAGUCCACGCCUUAAACUAUGGAUACUUGAUGUCGGGGCGUUCGGUCGACCCGGUGUCGUAGCUAACGUGUUAAGUAUCCCGCCUGGGGACUACGGUCGCAAGACUGAAACUCAAAGGAAUUGACGGGGGCCCGCACCAGCGGUGGAACAUGUGGUUUAAUUCGAUGCAACGCGAAGAACCUUACCUGGGCUUGACAUAUAUAUGGCGUAUGUAAGAAAUUAUGUAUUCUGUCUGUUUUUUCAGAUAGCAUAUAUACAGGUGAUGCAUGGCUGUCGUCAGCUCGUGUCGUGAGAUGUAGGGUUAAGUCCCUUAACGAGCGCAACCCUUGCUUUUAGUUGCCAUCAGGUAAUGCUGGGGACUCUAGAAGGACUGCCGAGGUUAACUCGGAGGAAGGUGGGGAUGACGUCAAGUCAGUAUGUCCCUUAUGUCCAGGGCUACACACGUGUUACAAUGGUCGGUACAGAGUGACGCUAAUCCACGAGGUGGCGCCAAUCACUUAAAGCCGAUCCCAGUUCGGAUUGGAGUCUGCAAUUCGACUCCAUGAAGUUGGAAUCGCUAGUAAUCGCAGAACAGCAUGCUGCGGUGAUACGUUCCCGGGCNUUGUACACACCGCCCGUCACGCCAUGGAAGUUGGGAGUACCCGAAGUUGCUGUCCAUACGUU